GAGUGGCGGACGGGUGAGUAACGCGUGGGAACCUGCCCAAUGGUAGGGAAUAACUGCGGGAAACUGCAGCUAAUACCCUAUGCUCCGGGGAAAGAUUUAUCGCCAUUGGAGGGGCCCGCGUCGGAUUAGCUAGUUGGCGGGGUAAUGGCCCACCAAGGCUACGAUCCGUAGCUGGUCUGAGAGGAUGAUCAGCCACACUGGGACUGAGAUACGGCCCAGACUCCUACGGGAGGCAGCAGUGGGGAAUAUUGGACAAUGGGGGAAACCCUGAUCCAGCAAUGCCGCGUGAGUGAAGAAGGCCUUAGGGUUGUAAAGCUCUUUCGGCGGGGACGAUGGUGACGGUACCCGCAGAAGAAGCCCCGGCUAACUUCGUGCCAGCAGCCGCGGUAAUACGAAGGGGGCUAGCGUUGUUCGGAAUCACUGGGCGUAAAGGGCGCGUAGGCGGCGCGACAAGUCAGGCGUGAAAGCCCCGGGCUCAACCCGGGAAUUGCGCUUGAUACUGUCGUGCUUGAGGCCGGGAGAGGAUGGCGGAAUUCCCAGUGUAGAGGUGAAAUUCGUAGAUAUUGGGAAGAACACCGGUGGCGAAGGCGGCCAUCUGGACCGGUUC
rnacentral:rRNA from 1 species